UGGCGAGAAGACAGCACCAGCAGCUGCUCCUGUGGCACCGAGUACUCGACCGCCUGUCGUCGAGAAGAAGCGUGUGCGAUUGCCACCACAAUCAGCUCGAUGAGUUGUUUGUCCUUUUUUGUACCUUCAAGCUUUCUUGAGGCUGUGAGAUGACUUUAUAUUUUGAUGUAGGGAUGUGGAGGAGACUAUCCCUGUGGAGGCAAGAGUAGAGUCGUGUCCCCCGACUACGCUUUCUGCCCCUUUGGAGGAUUUGUUUGUUGAAGAAGUAUCCGGAGUUGAUGCUGGUCACCUUGGAGCUACCAUGUCUAUGCUUCAAGAGGUGAUUCGUUCGGUGGAGGGCCCCUCGGCUGCUUCGGGUUCAGGAAUAUAACUUUGACGGCAUCUACUGGCGGAGCUCUGGCUGUAGUGGACGUGGAGAAAUCCAAAGAACCAACUGUUGCAGGUACCGCCAUGGGUGCAGCUCCGCACGCUGUGAAGAGUACUAAGGGUCCAGUACUCGGACUUUCAUCUAAGUCGGAGUUUCAGAGGGCCAUUGAUGUUUUUCGUAGCUUCCAGGAGUUGUAUGACCAGACACAAAGGAACACUCGGGCCCUUCAGGAAUGAAACCAUCAAUUGGAGCAGGAGUGUGCCCGACUUACAGAAUCCUUGAGGGUUCAUGAAGCUGGAGCGAAAUCCUUU